ensembl:lncRNA
UGUCUAUGUGGUUCUCAAGUUUCCCAGCUUGUUCACCCGAGCACUUGGAGUUUGGCUUUUCAGCUCAGAGAAAAAACUCGGAGCUGCCAUGCCACCAGUUUGGCCUUAGGGCUGUGACUAAAUAAAUAAGGGGGACCCCUUCCCCCAGCCGGAUCAGUUUAUUUUCAAAGACAGGGCUUUCUGCAGAUGUCACCGUGGAGCUGGCAGGAAGGCCUCUGUGGGCAGCUGGUUGCCGUGGCCGUGCAGGGCAGUUGGGGGCCCCCUCCCCCUGACCUGGGAAUGCCGCAAGUGUGUGCGACGGGCCUGGUGGAUUGACUGCAGUGAGCUGGACUGUAGAGCUGAGAUGUGUCCAGAACAGCGGUUUCCCAUCAAGGACAUAGGAAGCCAUGCCGACGUGGGGUGAGUCAAGGUUCAUGUGGAGGUGAGGCGUGGGCAGGAUGGUCCUGCAGAGCUGGGCUGGGUUUGUGGGAACAGAUGGAGAAUGCUCCCAACGGGGGAGAAAGAUGCAGAGCAGAGCACAAUCCAAGGCCCAGCUUUGCACAGCCUCUCAUGUGAUGCC